GAUGAACGCUAGGGGCAUGCUUAACACAUGCAAGUCGAACGAUUUUUUUUUUCGUAAGAAAAAAAAGGAAAGUGGCGGACGGGUGAGUAACGCGUAAGAACUUACCCCUAGGAGGGGAAUAACUGCUAGAAAUGGUAGGUAAUACCCCAUAAGCUGAGGAGUAAAAUGGAGUAUUCCGCCUAGGGAUAGGCUUGCGUCUGAUUAGCUAGUUGGUAAAGUAAUGGUUUACCAAGGCAACGAUCAGUAGCUGGUCUGAGAGGAUGAUCAGCCACACUGGGACUGAGACACGGCCCAGACUCCUACGGGAGGCAGCAGUGGGGAAUAUUGGACAAUGGGCGCAAGCCUGAUCCAGCAAUGCCGCGUGGGUGAAGAAGGUCUUCGGAUUGUAAAGCCCUUUCGGCGGGGACGAUGAUGACGGUACCCGCAGAAGAAGCCCCGGCUAACUUCGUGCCAGCCGCCGCAGUAACAC
rnacentral:rRNA from 1 species